ACUGCUCAGUAACACGUAGUCAACAUGCCCAGGGGACGUGGAUAACCUCGGGAAACUGAGGAUAAACCGCGAUAGGCCAAGGUUUCUGGAAUGGACAAUGGCUGAAACCUAUAUGGCCCCUGGAUUGGACUGCGGCCGAUCAGGCUGUUGGUGAGGUAAUGGCCCACCAAACCUGUAACCGGUACGGGCUCUGAGAGGAGGAGCCCGGAGAUGGGCACUGAGACAAGGGCCCAGGCCCUAUGGGGCGCAGCAGGCGCGAAACCUCUGCAAUAGGCGAAAGCUUGACAGGGUUACUCUGAGUGAUGUCCGCUAAGGGCAUCUUUUGGCACUUCUAAAAAUAGUGUAGAAUAAGGGGUGGGCAAGUCUGGUGUCAGCCGCCGCGGUAAUACCAGCACCCCGAGUGGUCGGGACGAUUAUUGGGCCUAAAGCAUCCGUAGCCGGUUCUGCAAGUCUUCCGUUAAAUCCACCUGCUCAACAGAUGGGCUGCGGAGGAUACUACAGGGCUAGGAGGCGGGAGAGGCAAGCGGUACUCAGUGGGUAGGGGUAAAAUCCUCUGAUCCACUGAAGACCACCAGUGGCGAAGGCGGCUUGCCAGAACGCGCUCGACGGUGAGGGAUGAAAGCUGGGGGAGCAAACCGGAUUAGAUACCCGGGUAGUCCCAGCUGUAAACGAUGCAGACUCGGUGAUGGGUUGGCUUCGAGCCAACCCAGUGCCGCAGGGAAGCCGUUAAGUCUGCCGCCUGGGGAGUACGGUCGCAAGACUGAAACUUAGAGGAAUUGGCGGGGGAGCAC
rnacentral:rRNA from 1 species